rnacentral:rRNA from 1 species
GACGAACGCUGGCGGCGUGCUUAACACAUGCAAGUCGAACGAUGAAGAAAAGAUUUGAAGCUUCGGCCGAAAUUCAUUUCGGGUUAGUGGCAGACGGGUGAGUAACGCGUGAGCAACCUACCUCUUACAAAGGGAUAGCCUCGGGAAACCGGGAUUAAUACCAUAUAACAUUGCGACGAAGCAUUUCGAUGCAAUCAAAGCUACGGCGGUAAGAGAUGGGCUCGCGUCCCAUUAACCAGAUGGUGAGGUAACGGCUCACCAUAGUAACGAUGGGUAACCGGGCGGAGAGGGUGAACGGUCAGACUGGAAAUGAGACACGGUCCAGACUCCUACGGGAGGGAGCAGUAGAGAAUAUUGCACAAGGGAGGGAAAUCUGAUGCAGCGACGCCGCGUGAGAGAUGAAGGAAGUCGUUACGUAAAACUCUGUUCUAUGGGAAGAAAAGGACUGUACCAGAGGAGAAAGCACCGGCUAAAUACGUG